GGACUACAGGGGUUUCUAAUCCCGUUUGCUCCCCUGGCUUUCGCGCCUCAGCGUCAGAAGAGGUCCAGCACGCCGCUUUCGCCACCGGCGUUCCUUCCGAUAUCUACGCAUUUCACCGCUCCACCGGAAGUUCCGCAUGCCCCUACCUCCCUCAAGACCAUCAGUAUCCCGGGCGGUUUUCCGGUUGAGCCGAAAGAUUUCACCCCAGACUUGAUGAUCCGCCUACGCGCCCUUUAAGCCCAGUGAAUCCGAACAACGUUCGCACGGUUCGUCUUACCGCGGCUGCUGGCAC
rnacentral:rRNA from 3 species